rnacentral:rRNA from 1 species
AGAGUUUGAUUCCUGGCUCAGAACGAACGCUGGCGGCAGGCCUAACACAUGCAAGUCGAACGCCCCGCAAGGGGAGUGGCAGACGGGUGAGUAACACGUGGGAACCUUCCCUAUAGUACGGAAUAGCCCAGGGAAACUUGGAGUAAUACCGUAUACGCCCGAAAGGGGAAAGAAUUUCGCUAUAGGAUGGGCCCGCGUAGGAUUAGCUAGUUGGUGAGGUAAUGGCUCACCAAGGCGACGAUCCUUAGCUGGUUUGAGAGAACGACCAGCCACACUGGGACUGAGACACGGCCCAGACUCCUACGGGAGGCAGCAGUGGGGAAUAUUGGACAAUGGGCGCAAGCCUGAUCCAGCCAUGCCGCGUGAGUGAUGAAGGCCUUAGGGUUGUAAAGCUCUUUUGGCGGGGACGAUAAUGACGGUACCCGCAGAAU